CUGAUAUGAAGAGCUUGCUCGGAUUUGAAGAUGAACAUUGCAAAGAGUGGCGAACGGGUGAGUAACACGUGGGAAACCUACCUCUUAGCGGGGGAUAACACUUGGAAACAAGUGCUAAUACCGCAUAAUACUGAUAACCGCAUGGUUAUCAGUUGAAAGAUGGUUCUGCUAUCACUAAGAGAUGGUCCCGCGGUGUAUUAGCUAGUUGGUAAGGUAAUGGCUUACCAAGGCAAUGAUACAUAGCCGAGUUGAGAGACUGAUCGGCCACAAUGGGACUGAGACACGGCCCAUACUCCUACGGGAGGCAGCAGUAGGGAAUCUUCCACAAUGGACGAAAGUCUGAUGGAGCAACGCCGCGUGUGUGAUGAAGGGUUUCGGCUCGUAAAACACUGUUGUAAGAGAAGAAUGACAUUGAGAGUAACUGUUCAGUGUGUGACGGUAUCUUACCAGAAAGGAACGGCUAAAUACGUGCCAGCAGCCGCGGUAAUACGUAUGUUCCAAGCGUUAUCCGGAUUUAUUGGGCGUAAAGCGAGCGCAGACGGUUGUUUAAGUCUGAAGUGAAAGCCCACAGCUUAACUGUGGAAGUGCUUUGGAAACUGGAUAACUUGAGUGCAGUAGAGGAGAGUGGAA
rnacentral:rRNA from 1 species